rnacentral:rRNA from 1 species
AUGUGCUUGCGUGAGAGAAAGAGGAAGAAACACAAAAUGGCAGGGAAUAAGAAGCGGAUGAAUCCUGCAGAUUCUGCUGGUACUGAUGGUGCCAUAGAAGGUGAAAGUCCAGCGGAAAAUUCUACAAACACGGCAUCCCAUGCUACACGUGCUGCAAAAAAAGUCAAACGGAAACAAAUAGCUACCACCAAACAAGCAGAGACGGCCCUAGUUCUUGCAACACCUACCACAGUACUACCAGUUGCACGACAUACUCGUGCGUCAACUGAGCUAGCAGCACGUUCCCAAGCUCCCUUGCCACCUGACACUACUUCCCAAGCACUCUUGACACAAGACGAGUUGGCAAUAUCAGAUGAACCUUGUGAGCUUCAACAGCAAGAAGGUAGUUGCUGGAGUCAAGUUACAGUUGCAUGCUUCUUUAUAUGUAGCCCUACAGUUUGA